rfam:Psychrobacillus sp. FJAT-21963 super3, whole genome shotgun sequence.
AGGGUAGUAUCUUAAUUGAACUGCACCUGCUUAUUAUUUUACUGUAAUUAAAUAGUCUGCCUUGAUCAUGUACGACAGGGACGGAGAA